rnacentral:rRNA from 1 species
UGUCAUGUUAUCGAUAUGUGAAUACAUAGCAUAUCAGAAGGCACACCCGGAGAACUGAAACAUCUUAGUACCCGGAGGAAGAGAAAGAAAAUUCGAUUCCCUUAGUAGCGGCGAGCGAAACGGGAAGAGCCCAAACCAACAAGCUUGCUUGUUGGGGUUGUAGGACACUCUAUACGGAGUUACAAAGGACGACAUUAGACGAAUCAUCUGGAAAGAUGAAUCAAAGAAGGUAAUAAUCCUGUAGUCGAAAAUGUUGUCUCUCUUGAGUGGAUCCUGAGUACGACGGAG